rnacentral:rRNA from 1 species
UACGUAGGGGGCAAGCGUUGUCCGGAUUUAUUGGGCGUAAAGAGCGUGUAGGCGGUUUGGUAGGUCCGCUGUGAAAACUCGAGGCUCAACCUCGAGACGCCGGUGGAAACCAUCAGGCUAGAGUCCGGAAGAGGAGAGUGGAAUUCCUGGUGUAGCGGUGAAAUGCGCGGAUAUCAGGAAGAACACCCGUGGCUAAGGCGGCUCUCUAGUACGGUACUGACGCUGAGACGCGAAAGCGUGGGGAGCGAACAGG